UGGAUCAUCUACCUUCUAGUGGGGAAUAACCCAGGGAAACCGGGGUUAAUACCGCAUAAGCUCGAGAGAGGAAAGCAGCAAUGCGCUGGAAGAGGAGUCCGCGGCCGAUUAGCUAGUUGGCAGGGUAAAAGCCUACCAAGGCAUCGAUCGGUAGCCGGCCUGAGAGGGCACACGGCCACACUGGCACUGAAACACGGGCCAGACUCCUACGGGAGGCAG
rnacentral:rRNA from 1 species